CUCCGCUCCCAGGCUCCGCGCCGGGCCCGCCCUACGCCCUCAGCCCGAGCCCGCGAUCCGCUCGGGCCCGGUCCGGCGCUCCGCCACCGGAACUUCCGGCCGCGCAGGUGUCGAGAGGAGUUGCCCGCAGCCAUCGAGAAGCACGUGACACGCGACGAGCUGGAGCAGUUGCUGGCGUGGAAACUGGCGGUGAGGAGCUUCCCACGUGGGGGACGGAGCCUUCCGGGGCGGGACGUAGCGCCGUGGGCGUGGCUUCAUCCUGGGGGCGGGCCCUCGCGCCUGGGGGCGGGGCCCCUAGCGAGAUCCACCAGCCGUGACCCCAGACCCGCCUUGACCACCGAGGGGCCACUUUCGGCCGCGCCUGCAGCAGCUCUUGACCACCAACUCCCCAGAGCUGGUGGUGCAGCGCUCGGCCGCCGCCUUCUGUCCCCUGCCAGACGUGAACGCAGCGGUCACGGAAUUGUGCGCCCUCCGGGGCGUGGGCCCGGCUAUCACCUCGCGUUAGUAGGGAGAGCUGGGCGUCCCCCCGGCGAGGGCGGAACCUGGCGUGUUAGUGGCCUUAUCUGUGAAAUGGCCAGAUACGUGACACCGAGAGUUGUUGGGAAUGGCAGCCCCACGUCGAGGUGGGGCUGAGUGCUGUCCAUUUACUUCCCGCGGCAGUCCUGGCUGCCAGAGCUCUCGAGGUAGCAGCCUUCAUGUCUGAAGAGGCAGUGGCCGCAGUGCCCGGUCUGCCAGCCUUGCAGUACACCCUGAAGCACUACCUGCUCUACCUGGGCCGGGUGCAGGAGGGUGCCACAGCCCUGAGCCAACGUGCAAUCUGUUGGCGGCCAGAGAGGGCAUCCAGGACUCUGGUCAGGGUGAUGUGCAGAGUUAUCCAGCAGGGUAGGGUGACUGGUGCCCCUGAGCCCCAGACUCCCUCUGCCCCACCCCAGGCAGUGCCUCAGGCUGUGGACUCCUCACCGUGUGGAGACAGCACUGUGGAUCUGGGCUGUAGGGCAGAAGCUGUGCCCUGACCUGCUGCCUGACCUUGGUCCCAGCCUGGCCACCCUUGAGGACACUAGGCCAGCCAAGAACCACA